ensembl:lncRNA
GAAAAAUAUCAUAAAACAAAAAUUUCAAAGCUUUCAUGGAAAAACAUUUAGAAAAAUUGUGUUAGGUCAAAAGAACAGUUAAAAAGCAGCAUGGAGUAUGUAGGGUAGGUUUGUAAAAUGUCAUUAAAAAAUACAUUUGUCAGAAAUUGUCAUGGAACAAAAAGUUGGAAAAAUUAGUUAAAUAAUCUUAUGUCAAAAAACAUUUUGGAAAAAAAAAUCAAAAUGUUACAAUAAAUCCAUCUGAUCUGAGUUCAGGCUCAAAAAUGCAGAGAUGCAUAAAAACAUCCAUUACUUUUAUUUUCAUUAACACAAUCCAUAAAAAUCAAAUACCACUGGUCCUCUUCUGCAAAUACAUAAAAAUGAGAAGUGACAAAAUGUACAGAUAGAAGUUAAUUUGUUUAUGGGGAGGUGAAGACGGCACCCGUCACAAUAAAAGCGCCCAAAGAGUCUCUCGGAUGUGGGGAAUAAGUUUGGUUUAUUAAAACAAAGAAAAAGGAAAGUUUCAUGUUAAUAUCUCUAAAUAAACUGUUUUAUUCCGAAACCCCAACAUCCAAUAAAUCUAUUUGUUUGACGGCCUUUUGUUCUGAAAACAAGUUGUUUAGAAAAUACACACUGCAGAGAAGAGGCGGGCGUAGUUGUCAUGGUAACGCCAUCAUUGGUUUGUUUGAUGCUUUGAAGCCUUGAGUUUAUCAAAUUGGUGGUUGCCAUCUUGUUUUAUUAAUCAACCCGUGAACAGGAAGUGACCAGAAGUGGAAAGAGAAGGACGUAGAGACAGCGUGUACCUCUUAAGCAGAGACCUUAUUAUGUCCUUUAAUCUGAAUAUUUAAUCAAUUAAUUGUCAACAAGCUGAGAUUCAGACGGAAAGACGUUUCAUAACAUUGAUUUCAUUUGAAUGCACAUUUGGUGAGUAUUGUUGCAUCAUGGGGGUUUUAAUCACCAGUUAUUGAUUUAUUAUCUAUGUAUAAGUUUGAUUUAUGAACCGUUCGAUUGCCUGACUGCUCGCGUCUCAGACGCCUUCAGGAAUAUUACAACAAAAACCAAAACAACAACAAUAAAAGAAACAAGAUUAGCAUAGCUUAGCAUAACAACUGGAGGGAGGACUACUCAGCUAUCUUGAAUCUGUCCACAGUUCCUCCCUGAAACACAUUGUAUAUUUAUAUAAUAACCAAACGUGUUGAAUAAGAGUAUUUUUAAUCCCUCAGACCUCAGCUAUCUGUUCCCCCAGACAAUGUUUAUGCUAAGCUAGGCUAACAGCUCGAGCUUCAUGAUGAACGUAUAAAUUAUUAUUUUGACACAUUCAUGCCCGAAUAUAACACAUGCCAACGAAGAAGUACUGCAGUACGGGUGUGCGGUGCGUUACCGCGGUUACGCACAAUGUUUACUAAGCAACUUCAUCAUUUCAAAGAAAACUAUUUUCGCUGAACUUUAGUGAGAACAUAAUCUCGAGAUUCAGUUCCUCAUCUUGGGGCCAAAAUCUUCUGAGUUUAGAUGAGCAAAGGCGGGGCUAACCCCGCCCCCCCCCCCCCCCGACAUCAUGCUACACCAGGAAGAGACACAAAACUUCAGCCCAAAAACAAACCACAACUGCAGACUACUUCAUGCCCAGAAAUUACAGCUCACCUCAGGUAGAAUAGUGUUUAGAAAAAUACUCUCUGCAUUGUAGAGGUCCAAAUGUCCGUCAUGUCUUUGAACUCAACACAAAAAUGUCUCUGUACAUUCACUCCAAGAAGAAACCACCCAAGAACUAUUUAACCCAGCGGGACAAUAUGAAGAAGCUUCUGAGUCACAUUCAGAGGGAAAGUGUGAGAAGAUCAUGGGGGCAGGAGGAGGAGGUAAAGGAGGAGGAGGAGGAGGAGGAGGUAAAGGAGGAGGAGGAGGUAAAGGAGGAGGAGGAGGAGGAGAUAAAGGAGGAGGAGGAGGUAAAGGAGGAGGAGGAGGAGGUAAAGGAGGAGGAGGAGGAGAGCUUGCUUCCUCGUUGCAUUGAUGGUUGUCUUUGUAACAGUCAGUGUCAUUCAUCGGUUCAGGAGGAGUUGAACCCGCAACUUUGUUUCCAUCUAUGGAGCUCUAAAGGGGAGAGGGGCAAAGAGAUAAGGAGACAAGGAGGCAACGAGACAAUGAAACAAAGACAGAGCGACAAGGAUACAAGGAUACAAGGAUACAAGGAUACAGUGGUGUUGUGGCUCUUUUGAAUGAAACCCAUGAACUUAUAAUUAAUUAUAAUUAUUAACUUAAUUAAAUUAAGGUUCAGGGGAAAUAAUCUGCUGGUGAAACAGCGUCCAGUCGUAUGAAGGAGAACUUCAAUGUUCUCACACUGACGUGUAUUUCUGGGUCUUGAUGACGGAUGCGUGAUGACGGACGC